rnacentral:rRNA from 1 species
ACAGCUGUUAAAGCUACGGCACUUAAAGAUGGGCGUGCGGCUGAUUAGGUAGUUGGCGGGGUAACGGCCCACCAAGCCGACGAUCAGUAACUGGUGUGAGAGCACGACCAGUCACACGGGCACUGAGACACGGGCCCGACUCCUACGGGAGGCAGCAGUAAGGAAUAUUGGUCAAUGGACGCAAGUCUGAACCAGCCAUGCCGCGUGGAGGAUGAAGGCCCUCUGGGUUGUAAACUUCUUUUAUUGGGGAAGAAACCCAUCUUUUCUAAGGUGGUUGACGGUACCCGAUGAAUAAGCACCGGCUAGCUCCGUGCCAGCAGCCGCGGUAAUACGGAGGGUGCAAGCGUUAUCCGGAUUCACUGGGUUUAAAGGG